CAGUCGUGACUGCGUGCCUUUUGAAGAAUGAGCCUGCGAGUUUGCGGUGUGUUGCGAGGUUAACCCGUGUGGGGAAGCCGUAGCGAAAGCGAGUCCGAAUAGGGCGAUUUAGUAGCGCGCUCAAGACCCGAAGCGGAGUGAUCUAGCCAUGGGCAGGUUGAAGCGGAGGUAAGACUUCGUGGAGGACCGAACCCACCAGGGUUGAAAACCUGGGGGAUGACCUGUGGUUAGGGGUGAAAGGCCAAUCAAACUCCGUGAUAGCUGGUUCUCCCCGAAAUGCAUUUAGGUGCAGCGUCGUGUGUUUCUUGCCGGAGGUAGAGCACUGGAUAGGCGAUGGGCCCUACCGGGUUACUGACCUUAGCCAAACUCCGAAUGCCGGUAAGUGAGAGCGCGGCAGUGAGACUGUGGGGGAUAAGCUCCAUGGUCGAGAGGGAAACAGCCCAGAGCAUCGACUAAGGCCCCUAAGCGUACGCUAAGUGGGAAAGGAUGUGGAGUCGCAGAGACAACCAGGAGGUUGGCUUAGAAGCAGCCACCCUUGAAAGAGUGCGUAAUAGCUCACUGGUCAAGUGAUUCCGCGCCGACAAUGUAGCGGGGCUCAAGCGUACCGCCGAAGUCGUGUCAUUCAUACACAUAGGGCCAACGCCUGUAUGGAUGGGUAGGGGAGCGUCGUGUGCCGGGUGAAGCAGCCGCGGAAGCGAGUUGUGGACGGUUCACGAGUGAGAAUGCAGGCAUGAGUAGCGAUACACACGUGAGAAACGUGUGCGCCGAUUGACUAAGGGUUCCUGGGUCAAGCUGAUCUGCCCAGGGUAAGUCGGGACCUAAGGCGAGGCCGACAGGCGUAGUCGAUGGACAACCGGUUGAUAUUCCGGUACCCGCUUUGAAACGCCCAAUACUGAGCCCAUUAAUGCUAAGUCCGUGAAGCCGGCCCGAUCUCUUCGGAGUUGAGGGUAGUGGUGGAGCCGAUGACCCAAGGUGGUAGUAGGUAAGCGAUGGGGUGACGCAGGAAGGUAGUCCAGCCCGGGCGGUGGUUGUCCCGGGGUAAGGGUGUAGGACGCACGGUAGGCAAAUCCGUCGUGCAUAUAAGUCUGAGACCUGAUGCCGAGCCGAUUGUGGUGAAGUGGAUGAUCCUAUGCUGUCGAGAAAAGCCUCUAGCGAGUUUCAUGGCGGCCCGUACCCUAAACCGACUCAGGUGGUCAGGUAGAGAAUACCGAGGCGUUCGGGUGAACUAUGGUUAAGGAACUCGGCAAAAUGCCCCCGUAACUUCGGGAGAAGGGGGGCCAUCACUGGUGAUCCGAUUUACUCGGUGAGCUGGGGGUGGCCGCAGAGACCAGCGAGAAGCGACUGUUUACUAAAAACACAGGUCCGUGCGAAGCCGUAAGGCGAUGUAUACGGACUGACGCCUGCCCGGUGCUGGAACGUUAAGGGGACCGGUUAGCUGCUCUUCGGGGUGGCGAAGCUGAGAACUUAAGCGCCAGUAAACGGCGGUGGUAACUAUAACCAUCCUAAGGUAGCGAAAUUCCUUGUCGGGUAAGUUCCGACCUGCACGAAUGGCGUAACGACUUCUCGACUGUCUCAACCAUAGGCCCGGUGAAAUUGCACUACGAGUAAAGAUGCUCGUUUCGCGCAGCAGGACGGAAAGACCCCGGGACCUUUACUAUAGUUUGAUAUUGGUGUUCGGUUCGGCUUGUGUAGGAUAGGUGGGAGACUUUGAAGCGGCCACGCCAGUGGUUGUGGAGUCGUCGUUGAAAUACCACUCUGGUCGUGCUGGAUGUCUAACCUGGGUCCGUGAUCCGGAUCAGGGACAGUGUCUGAUGGGUAGUUUAACUGGGGCGGUUGCCUCCUAAAGAGUAACGGAGGCGCCCAAAGGUUCCCUCAGCCUGGUUGGCAAUCAGGUGUUGAGUGUAAGUGCACAAGGGAGCUUGACUGUGAGACCGACGGGUCGAGCAGGGACGAAAGUCGGGACUAGUGAUCCGGCAGUGGCUUGUGGAAGCGCUGUCGCUCAACGGAUAAAAGGUACCCCGGGGAUAACAGGCUGAUCUUCCCCAAGAGUCCAUAUCGACGGGAUGGUUUGGCACCUCGAUGUCGGCUCGUCGCAUCCUGGGGCUGGAGUCGGUCCCAAGGGUUGGGCUGUUCGCCCAUUAAAGCGGUACGCGAGCUGGGUUUAGAACGUCGUGAGACAGUUCGGUCCCUAUCCGCUGUGCGCGUAGGAAUAUUGAGAAGGGCUGUCCCUAGUACGAGAGGACCGGGACGGACGAACCUCUGGUGUGCCAGUUGUUCUGCCAAGGGCAUGGCUGGUUGGCUACGUUCGGAAAGGAUAACCGCUGAAAGCAUCUAAGCGGGAAGCCUGCUUCGAGAUGAGUAUUCCCACCCUCUUGAAGGGUUAAGGCUCCCAGUAGACGACUGGGUUGAUAGGCCAGAUGUGGAAGCCCGGUAACGGGUGGAGCUGACUGGUACUAAUAGGCCGAGGGCUUGUCCUC
rnacentral:rRNA from 1 species